AUAACUAGAGAAAGCCCGUGCAUACCAACGAAGACCCAACACAGCAAAAAAAAUUCAUCAUCCAUUUUUCACUAUGCUUUGAGAAUUUAGGCUAUUUCUUUUUGUAAGAAUAAAUCCAGGCUGUCAUCUGGGGAAGAUUUUCAUAAAUUAAACAAGAAAAUAAUUUGAAAAAAGAUAAAGCGCAAAUCAUACUGAGACUCAAACAUAAGCAACAUCCACAAGACAGCCAAUGGGAGCUCAGAAUGGAAGUUAUGUUGCUUCAGCCCUCUACAUUCCCAUCUUCAAACAAUAGGUAUGUGACCAUCUUUGGCAAAUCAGCUGUGUAGUAACUGGACUCUGUCUUAUUCUCUGCGGUAUCAUGGGCACCAGGCCCAGUGUUAUCACUCAACAGGUAGUUUUAACUAAAGCAAUUUCUUAGAUUUUCUCCUCCUACUGGAAGGCAUUUGCAAAUGACCAAGCUAUUUUGCCUCAUCAGGGCCAUAUUUGCUGGGAUUAUAAUCGAAAUGGCUAAUAUUUCUACUCUUCCCUUACUGGUAUCAGUCAUGCCUACUGAGUUUAUUGCUAAAACCACUAGGAUUAUGUUUCCUUUAAGGUGCAUAUGGCUCUGGGGAUUCAAGUUGCAGCACAACUUUCAGCCUGUGCCUGGCACUAUAUUAAACUCAUGAGGAUGGCCUCAUCUCUAAUUUGCCCUCUACUAGGUUAUAAUAGAAAAGAACUAGCCUGGUGUCAUAUACAGAGCCACCUAUCUGAACUCAGACUCUCCCUGAAUCUCACAGCUCACAGUAACCAGACACAUAUUACUCCUUAGUGGAUCUUUAUUGAUGUGGCAAUUACUACGUUUCUCCUGAGAAUCUUUGGAGACUCUUCACAACGAAUGAUGAAUGAUCUGUUGCAUCCCGUAUCUUCGUUCCGUUCCAUGGGAGAGUGGGCUCCUUUCAGUUUGAUUUCCAAAAUUUGGCCAGUAAUAACUAAAGCAUGACUUCAGGUCCAAAACCAUGAGUUUGGAUUCUGAGUCCUUGGUCUGCUCCUGUUUCCUGCUAACCUGCUCUUUCAUCUUUAGUUACUCAGCAUGAGUAUAUUCUUACUCCUAAAUGACAGGUAUGUAGCCUUUACAGACCUUUAUGUUCUUAAGGUUUGGUACCCCACAAGACUCAUUAAAGUCCUAAUCCCCAAAGUGAUGGUGUUAGGUAGUGGGCCCUUUGGGAGGUGAUUAGGUCAUGAGGAUGGAGGCCUCACAAUUGGAAUUAGUGCCCUUUUAAAAGAGGUCUCAGAUAAAUCCCCCAGUCUCUGCCAAGGAGAAGUGGACAGUGUGUGACCUGGAAGCAGGCUUUCAGCAGAACUGGACCACGCUGACACCCAGAUCUUGGAUUUCCAGACUAUGGAACUAAACUUGAGCGAGGCCAUUUUUGGGAAAGAAGCCGUUUUCUGAGGGGUUUGAAGCAGGGAAGCGAGUUGGGGCCGAUUUUACAGAUUCGGGCUCGUUUCUGGCGCUAUGCUGCGACGGCUCAGAGAAAGGGGAACGCGGCGGCGGCGAUGGGGCGCCCGGACGGUGUUGGGGACGCCCUGGGGGACUCCAGCUUGACUUUAGUGUAGAAAGAAGAGUUACUAGUGUCCUGUACAAGCAGCUGAGGACGUGUACCAGGUCUGAUCUUCUCAUUUUCUCUGACUAUGUCUGGAAACAUGAGCUAUGACUCCUAUCAAGUCAUGUGGAAGAAUUCAAAUCUAAUGUCUUAGCCCCUUAAAGGGGACAUGGAGAGAGGCGAGGCUAGUUGUAUUUUGGUGCAUUACAAAGCAUGAACAUACAGUAAAAUGUCUAAGUACUCUUAUUAGAAUUUAAAAAGACACAGAUUGAGACUCAGAUUUUAUUUCAACCUUGGGUCUCAUUUGGAUGAGCACACCCUAUUGGAUUUAUACUCUGUCCUUUUCCAUGAAUGUUUAAUUUCCAGCGUAAUAAAAGAAACGUUGAAGUUGCGACAUUAUCUGUUGCCAAUAAAUUGAAGAGAAAUUGGAAAAACUUGGAAACAACAUUGGCAUAAGUACAGAAUUGACAACCUUGUACUAUUUAAGAAUCUCAUUUGCAGGCAGGUACUCAGAGCAGCUGGAUACAGGCUCCCACAGCCAGACACGUGAAUCACCAGGCUCACCGGGGCCUGCCACCCUCCUCACUGAGGUCACCCAGGAUGAUGUUCUCCAGCCCUGUCUGCACCCUUAGCUGUGACCAGCCCCGAACCACGGCCUGCCAAAGCAGGAGACCCUCACAAGUUCUGCACCUAGUGGAAGAACCUUUCCAUUGUUUUCCUGCCUGAAGGACAAGAAGGUUUUCAGGUUCCUCCAGGAGCAGCCAGAUGCAAAUAGCUCAGGCCACCUCUUUCUCCAUGCGGUAAUCUAGCAGACCUUCAACUUUUUCAGCAAAGAGGGAUGAUAAUCCUCAUUGGACUGAUCAGCAGCUAGAAUUGUUGGAGGCCUGUUUGGUGCAGAAAAUGGAGAUGGAAAGACUUUCUGAGCAAUGAGGACUCUAGUCAGACUUUGAAGAACUGCUUCCAAAGUACCAGGCUCAGGAAAUUCCCUGGUGCUCCAGUGGUUUGGACUCUGCGCCUUCACUGCUGUGACUCGGAUUCAGUCCCUGAUCCCACAAGCUGCUGGACGUGGCCAAAAACAACAAAAAGGAGAAAAAACAAAAACCCCAAAAUAAACACAAAGUACCAGGGUCGAUAUGAGAAGGAAAGUACACAACUGCUGUGCCUGGGACAUUGUCAUACUGGAAGUUAAGACAUGAAAAUUAGUAAAUGCUUUCUUUGUAUUAAUCAGCUCCUCAGAAAACUCAGGAAGUCAAAAAGGAGAAUUAAGCUCCCACAGUAUGUCUCAUCUACAGUCCUCCCUCAGUACCCGAGGGGGAGAGGUUCCAGGACCUCCACGGAUACCGUGUGGAUCUUCAAGUUCCUUAUAUAAGAUGUAAGAACUGAAAGGAAAUGCCAUUUUUUGAUGCCAUUUCUUUCCUGGAAACUUGAACUUGCCACCAUGGGAAACCACUACUUCAGCCAGCAAACAUGGAAUCGCCACACAGAGCCUAUAUCUUCUCAUUUUUCACUCCGGACCAAAAUGUCACACAGGUGCUUCAGAUUGGCAAAGUCUUAUUCAAGUGCCUGCAUUCUAUCUGCAAAGGAGGCUAGAAAUUUGCAUUGGGUCUCCUACAUUGGUAAAUUAGUGUUCUAUUGAUGCAUAAUUAAUAACCUAAAACUUCAGUGGCGUUAACCACUAGUCUAUUACCUAACAGUUUUUAUGAAUCAAGAAUUUGAGAGCGCUUUCAGUGGGCUCAGGAUCUCUCAUGAGGUGGCGGUCAAGAUGUCAGCUGGCCUGCAGUCACCUGAAGGCUUGACUUGGGUUGGAGGAUCUGCUUCUAACGUGGGUCAUUCACAUGACCACUGGCAGGAAGCCUCAGUUCCUCAUCACAGUCACCUGAGCCCCUCCACUAAGCCCUGUGAUGUGUCCUCACAACAGCUGGCUUCUACCAAAGUGAGUGAUGAAAACCAGAAGUGGAGAAGGCAGUAAAUUGUUUUAUGACAGAGUCUUAUAAGUUACACACCAUCACUUCAACCUGUGUUGUGUAUUGAUUAGAGGGAAGUUGCUACAUCAAGCACAUAGUCAAGGGAAGGGACAGGAAAGAGUAUGAGACAGUCUGUGAAUAUAUUUUAAAACAACUGCAAUGAAAGAAGUAGGAGUCAUAAGGUAGGCGUAUCCCUUCAUGUAGAAAGGCUGUUGUACAGAUGAUGGGUGGCCAUGAGUAUGAUGUCAGAAGAACAAUCUGUGAUGAUUUAUUGGCUAUGGGCUUUGAGGAAGUUGAGAACUCAAUGAUAAUGUCCAUGUCUCUCUCUUGGGCUGCAGAAUGAUUGGGACCCAUUCACACAAGGAACAUAGAAGGGCGAGAAAGUUUGGAAAAUAUGGAUUCAACUUUGAACACGUGAAGUGGAGAUAUUCUAGAUAUUCUAGCAUGUAGAAAUAUGGAUCUAAUGUUUGGAGAUAAGAUUCUGGGGAAAGACAUGCAUAUGGAGGUCACAAUCAUAGAGAGGACAUUUGGAAGUAUUUGGGAGGUUGAGAGUGUAUGUGCAGAGAGGAUGAAGUGUGGGACUAGCAUGGAAUUUGUGGAACACCAAUUCCCUAAGAUGAGAGGGAGCAGUCAACAAAGGAAGGAGAGGAGGUGGGGCAGAAAAGCAGAGGAUGGUGGUGACACGGAGACCAGAUGAGCGUCAGACCUUAAGAUGGAGGGCGUGGUAACAAGUGUCCGAUGCUUCUGAGAUGUCAGCUGAGGCUGCCUGACAGUGAUCUCUGAUCUCAGUAACAUGUAUUGAUAGUUCAGUAUAAACUUUGGCUGAGCAGUUUUAAGAGAACAGGGAGGUUGAAGGCAAAUUAUGGCAAUUGGAGGAAUGAUGUGCGUGUGAAGAAAUAGGGACAGAUAAUCCAGAGAACGUUGAAGAAGUUUGGGUGUGAACAGAAUGACAGAAGCAAAAUAAUACUAACAAGUGGUCAUAGCGCUGAGGAGUAGUCAUGUUUAGGAUAAAAUGAAAAUUAAGCACAUUUAACGUUGAUCAAAACUAGCCAAUAAAAAGAAAGAUGUUGAUACAGGAGAGAGGAUGUAACUGAUAAAGCAUAAACAUCUUAUUAAAGUCCCCUCUGCUUUUCUAUCAAAGGAAUCAUUCUGAAGAACUAAGCCUUCUGGAAUUGUCCCUCUGGUGUCACAGAGGUUUUGCACCCUGAGGCAGUGCGCCAGGCUGAGGCUUGGAAUG